rnacentral:rRNA from 1 species
UACGAAGGGGGCUAGCGUUGCUCGGAAUGACUGGGCGUAAAGGGCGCGUAGGCGGAUGGCUUUGUCGGGCGUGAAAUUCCAGGGCUUAACCUUGGGGCUGCGUUCGAGACGGGUUGUCUUGAGUGGGGAAGAGGGUCGUGGAAUUCCCAGUGUAGAGGUGAAAUUCGUAGAUAUUGGGAAGAACACCAGUGGCGAAGGCGACUUACUGGACACAUAUUGACGCUGAGGUGCGAAAGCGUGGGGAGCAAACAGG